GAUGAACGCUGGCGGCGUGCCUAAUACAUGCAAGUCGAGCGAACGGACGAGAAGCUUGCUUCUCUGAUGUUAGCGGCGGACGGGUGAGUAACACGUGGAUAACCUACCUAUAAGACUGGGAUAACUUCGGGAAACCGGAGCUAAUACCGGAUAAUAUUUUGAACCGCAUGGUUCAAAAGUGAAAGACGGUCUUGCUGUCACUUAUAGAUGGAUCCGCGCUGCAUUAGCUAGUUGGUAAGGUAACGGCUUACCAAGGCAACGAUGCAUAGCCGACCUGAGAGGGUGAUCGGCCACACUGGAACUGAGACACGGUCCAGACUCCUACGGGAGGCAGCAGUAGGGAAUCUUCCGCAAUGGGCGAAAGCCUGACGGAGCAACGCCGCGUGAGUGAUGAAGGUCUUCGGAUCGUAAAACUCUGUUAUUAGGGAAGAACAUAUGUGUAAGUAACUGUGCACAUCUUGACGGUACCUAAUCAGAAAGCCGCGGCUAACUACGUGCCAGCAGCCGCGGUAAUACGUAGGUGGCAAGCGUUAUCCGGAAUUAUUAGGCGUAAAGCGCGCGUAGGCGGUUUUUUAAGUCUGAUGUGAAAGCCCACGGCUCAACCGUGGAGGGUCAUUGGAAACUGGAAAACUUGAGUGCAGAAGAGGAAAGUGGAAUUCCAUGUGUAGCGGUGAAAUGCGCAGAGAUAUGGAGGAACACCAGUGGCGAAGGCGACUUUCUGGUCUGUAACUGACGCUGAUGUGCGAAAGCGUGGGGAUCAAACAGGAUUAGAUACCCUGGUAGUCCACGCCGUAAACGAUGAGUGCUAAGUGUUAGGGGGUUUCCGCCCCUUAGUGCUGCAGCUAACGCAUUAAGCACUCCGCCUGGGGAGUACGACCGCAAGGUUGAAACUCAAAGGAAUUGACGGGGACCCGCACAAGCGGUGGAGCAUGUGGUUUAAUUCGAAGCAACGCGAAGAACCUUACCAAAUCUUGACAUCCUUUGACAACUCUAGAGAUAGAGCCUUCCCCUUCGGGGGACAAAGUGACAGGUGGUGCAUGGUUGUCGUCAGCUCGUGUCGUGAGAUGUUGGGUUAAGUCCCGCAACGAGCGCAACCCUUAAGCUUAGUUGCCAUCAUUAAGUUGGGCACUCUAAGUUGACUGCCGGUGACAAACCGGAGGAAGGUGGGGAUGACGUCAAAUCAUCAUGCCCCUUAUGAUUUGGGCUACACACGUGCUACAAUGGACAAUACAAAGGGCAGCGAAACCGCGAGGUCAAGCAAAUCCCAUAAAGUUGUUCUCAGUUCGGAUUGUAGUCUGCAACUCGACUACAUGAAGCUGGAAUCGCUAGUAAUCGUAGAUCAGCAUGCUACGGUGAAUACGUUCCCGGGUCU
rnacentral:rRNA from 1 species